ensembl:lncRNA
UUCUGUGUUUUCUCCCAACGGGGCAGGAGGGAAGCACGGCACGGCACAACUGCGCUGUCGCGGCUCCCUCGCUGCUUCUGCCUGACCGAGGGAGCUGCCCUUGGGGAGCGCGAAGGGGGACGAGGGCGCCUCUCAGCUCCCGAGUGAGGCAGAAUUAGCGCUGCGUCAUGUCCCCCCGGUGUGAAGGCUGGCGCCUUCACCAGGUGGUCGGUGAAGAUGAAAGUUAUUUCUUUACAAAUGCGUGCUGAACUUGCAGCGCAAAUAGGCUGCCUGCAGCUGCUGGUGAGACCCAUGGCCGAAAGAGGAAGCUGUGCUCAAGACAAGCCACCUUCCACGCUGAACCUACAUGCACCAGGAGUCAGAGGCCAAACAGGUCUCUGUUAUCACUCCGGCUCCAAAGUGGCUGUCACUGCACGGCAGGUGGGCUUAAUGCUGUCUUCUGCGGGAGAGAGACGGGCAUCUGCUGCUGAUGCAGUUUAA